ensembl:snRNA U1 U1 spliceosomal RNA
AUACUUACCUGGCAGGGGAGAUACCAUGAUCAGGAAGGUGGUUCUCCCAGGGCGAGGCUCUGCCAUUGCACUUCAGGUGUGCUGACCCCUGCGGUUUCCCCACAUGCGGGAAACUCGACUGCAUAAUUUGUGGUAGUGGGGGACUGCGUUCGCGCUUUCCCCUG